rnacentral:rRNA from 1 species
GACGAACGCUGGCGGCGUGCUUAACACAUGCAAGUCGAACGAAGUGGCGAACGGGUGAGUAACGCGUAAUCAACCUGCCCUUCAGAGGGGGACAACAGUUGGAAACGACUGCUAAUACCGCAUACUGAAGGAGGGGAUUGCGUCUGAUUAGCUAGUUGGAGGGGUAACGCCCCACCAAGGCGAUGAUCAGGAGCCGGUCUGAAGGAAUGAACGGACACAUUGGGACUGAGACACGGCCCAGAAUCCGACGGGAGGCAGCAGUGGGGAAUCGUCCGCAAUGGACGAAAGUCUGACGGAGCAACGCCGCGUGAGUGAUGACGGCUUUCGGGUUGUAAAGCUCUGUUAAUCGGGACGCGGUACCGGAAGAGAAAGCCACGGCUAACUACGUGCCAGCAGCCGCGGUAAUAC